GCCUAUAGCUCAAUGGUAGAGCAUCGGACUUUUAAUCCGCCGGUUCUGGGUUCGAGUCCCAGUG
rnacentral:tRNA from 1 species